ACUGCGUUCACCUUGGUAGUAGUUUCAAAAACUGGAAUGACACAGAGAAGACAGCACGGACCUUGAACAAUGAUAACACAUAAUAUCACGAAAUGUUCCAUAUCUUA